rnacentral:rRNA from 1 species
AUAAUAUCUCCCACCCGGGUUUUUGGGGCCCCGGGAAAUUUAGAAAAGCCGCCGAAAAAAGGUGAUAAGUUUUAGAACUGAAAAUUCCCGGAUAAUGAAAGAUUUUGUAAGCCGCAUUCGGCCGCGGGGGUUGGCCACAAGCCCUUUCUCUUCUUCAGUCCGGGUUUUCAACCCUAUGGUCCCCAGUGUGCCGCUUUAGGUUUAUGGAUAGGAUUCCUAUGAAAAGCAACAUUUUCCCCCCCGGUCCAAAAGAUCAUUGAGGCCCUUCCCACCUAAGAGGAAGGGGGGAGUCGUAACAAGGUUUCGGUAGGUGAACGUGCGGAAGGAUCAUUG